UCAUAUUCUGAGAGCCUUCUAUUUCUCUUAACAGAAAGUUCCAUAUCAGUUCUCAAUGGAACACCUCCCAAACUGCAGAACGGAGAUCGUGCUUCGUAACUUGAAAGGAGACUGUUGGACUGUAAAUUCAAUUCCGACUAUGAAGGUACAAACGCUGCACACAUUUUGUGGAGGAUGGUCGGCAUUUGUCAGAGAUAAUGACAUCCAGAUGGGAGAUAUCUGCAUAUUUGAGCUAGUUGGGAAAUAUGAAAUGCGUGUACAUAUAUGUGCAAUUGGGAAGAAGGGGUUAGAUUACCGAAACGGGAUAACUUCUAAUGAAUCGGCUAUUCGAUGUAACACGCAAAAGAAUGCAUAAUACAAGGCCUGGCUUUUUGCUAGAAGUGGAUGCAUUGGAUUAGAAAAGGAAUACACGCAAAUGUUAUGGAGAAGCUUAAAGUAAAUCAUCUAACAUUUGACCAGGUUGGACAGUGCAUCAGUCGCUUAGAUGUUUUGUUCUAGGUGUUUUCUAAGCACUCAUGUUCGGACUUUGUGUUAGUUUAAAUACUGUGCGAAAAGCUUCUCAUUUUCUUGGUGUCAUAGAUUUCCCUUUGUAAAUAAUUCAUGUGUCAGUAAGUUAAUUGCCAGGAAACUCUGCUGUUGUCUGUAUAUGUAAAAACAGAAAUUGGGACAUCUAGAAUGAGAAAUUGAAGUUUCGCUCAGCUGAAAUGA